ACUACUUGAUUAAAAGGAGGGAAGUUUACUUCCUGACCUCACAACGACCCGUGUGCGUUACGCAUUAUCCAAUAAAAAUUUGGAGUUGUCCCGGAGGACAGCUGUGAUUGGCAACCAUGAACAUGAGCGGUAGGAAAUGAAUGGAUUGAAAUACAUGAGAAUGUUUUAUAUUUUUAACGUUAUUAUUUUUUUUUUAAUUAAAGAUUUGUCUGCGAGCCAGAUGCAGCCAUCAAAAGAGCCACAUCUGGCUCGCGAGCCAUAGGUUCCCGACCCCUGCUCUAAACAGUAAAACGAAAUCCGAAAGUCGGGUUAUGGCGGAGUGUAGUUUUUUUUGACUGCACUAAUAGUUCGUAAACACCACACAGGAAGUAGGAAAAGAACUACAUUUCCCAUCUGCCCUGGCUGUCACAGGCUAAUAGCACCAGCUGCUUUCCAUUGCUCUAAUGAGUGAUUCUACUGCUGCAACGAGACCAAAUGCAACGAAAGUAUUGAUGCUGCAAAAGAAGACGGAUCUUUUGGUAGGCUGGUUAAUGAUGACCACAAGCACCCAAAUGGCAGAAUGCAGAAGACUGAAGUGGAUGGAAGCCCACAUCUUGGUCUGUUUGCUUUAACAGACUUUAAAGAAGGUGAUGAAAUUACCUACAAUUACGGAGGAGGAGACUGGCCUUGGCGUAGCAAGGUAAAACAUCUACUCUGAAAAAGAGGAAGGCUCGGGAAGGAAAUGAGGUCCAUGCAGUGGAGAGACAUAUGAAGACCUUCAUCAUGUCAUGUCGUGUCCCAGGGAAGUUGGUCUGUGAAAACUGCAUUAGAUCUGAGUCUUUAUAUCUUAAAGAUAGAGACUGGCAAAGUGUCAAAUUCUACGUCUAUAACUGCACUGUAGCUUACAAAAGAGAUAUAAACAAAGAUUAAUUACCACUUUGAUAGUAACACUUUACAUCUAUAUUACAGAUACUGUACAUCAUAACAUCUGUAGUAAUGCUUUAAUAAUAAGUUACAUUACAUCUCUAGCCUUUUACUUUGUAAUGAAACACUCAGCAUUUACUUCAUAAUAAACUAAUCAGGAACAAAUCAGGCAUUUAAAAUAUCCAUUAGAAUCUUUACCUACACCGUUAUAUUGAAUUAGAUCAAAUUGGUUUGGGCCGCCUUCUUCCAGUGGGUCCUUAUGCAGGUGACUGACAAGUUCAUGAAUAAGCCUAUUGGGCAAUAAAAGCUUCCGUGUGCUACCCAUUUACAUGUUUAGGCUGCCUGGAAUCAAAAUUAGCUACCUCAACAUACAUUAUUAAGUUGUUACUGUCACUUUUUAGCUUAGUCAGUUAAGUGGAUAUAGAAUAAAGAAAAAAAAUUAUGUUUAUGACAUUUGGUUGUGUGUCUGUGUUUGGCUAGUAUCUAUAUUUUUCUCAAUAUGUUUAACUUUGAGCUGGCUAUAUGUAGUAAGCACAAGUGUUAUGUCAAACUUAAAUGAGUCCAAGUUCAUUCAUGGCACAUGUGAGCUUAGUAGUUGUGCACUUUAAUGGGCAAAUAUUUGUUGUCUUUUACAGUAAAGAAGCUCAAGACUCAAGUUGUCUUUAUAAUGUUGAAUAGACAGGGUUUUUUCAUCUUACUGACAAUUUUUCACUUGAUUAGAGAUCCAGACCAAUAAACAAAUCCUUCAUGCAGCUAAAAUAUCAAAAGGAUGAGUUUCUUUGUCAUUUUGACUUGCCAAAAUGACUGGGGAUAGUGUUAAUUUGUGAUGCAUGCCUGUGAUAAAUAAGUGAGGUUCAGUACAGCAAGCACCUCUACUUUCUAUUCCACAAAAAAUUGUAUACUUUGGAGCAGGAAAUGAAAUGCUUCUUAGAAUUAUAGCCUCAAAACUAAUAAUAGCACUGGUAACACCUUCCUUAACAAGUUCCUAGGUUUCUCAAAAGGUUCCUCUGUUGGAAAUAGAAAGCUCCAAAGAAAUGUAGUCUGUUAUCUAUUACGUGCAGAUAUUGAAAUUUGUGUAAGAGAGCUUUUUGAUAACCAAACUUUCACUGAUUGCAUAUUUCACAAAUAAGGCUAAGAGUCCUUUGUAUAAACAAUUAAGAACAACUGUUCAAUUUAAUUUCAUGAGAAGCUUAAACCUUCAAAUAGAGAAAAUACACAUCAUAUCUGCUUUACAGACAGCCCUCUAAAUUGGACAUACUUAGUUUGUAAUUUUGUAUAAAUAAUUAGAGUUAAAUUGACAACUUUGUUUUUUAAAACCAUGUCCCCUUGUUGAACUACCUGAUCUGUGUGUAUGCAGAUUAACUAUGUAGUGAUGUCCCCUCUACAACAUGAAAACCAGUUAAUUUUCUGUGUAUGAAAAUUAGCUAUCUAGUGAUGUCCCCACUACAACAUGAAAACCAGUUAAUUUGCUGUGCAUGCAAAUUAGGUCCCCAUUAAUGAUGAGUUCUUGUUAUGUCCACAUUAGGUGUGAAAAAACCAAGCACAGAAAUUUUGAGAUUUAAAUCCAGAAUUUGAGAUGAUAUGUGUUCUCAGGCUUAAAUUAUACAUGCCUGACUUUUUUCACAUCUGUAGGACCUCAGGAAAGUGGUGUCCCCACAAUACAUGGGUGGGACUACUGACCCCAGAAUGUUAUAAUUACAAGAAUGUCUGUGUGUGUGUGUGUGUGUGUGUGUUAAAGGUACAGGAGCAGUCUGGCUGUGCAGCUACAGUAAAUGUUAAUAAUAAUAAUAAUAAUAGGACGUUAUUUAAAAGCUCAUACAGCUGAUGUGAUUUUUAUUUAGUAGUUAAUUUAACAUGCUAUGCUAACAUGUAAACAAUAAGAUAAUAUUACCUGACGUACAUUUUACACUCAAUAUUGUCUGUUUCUGUUCUAUUUCACCAACAAAAAUAUUUCCAAACAAAGCCACAGCAGGUCCUGCUCCUUUUUCCUCCUAAUUCCCUCAUUUCUCCACGUUGGGAUUAAUAAAGUAUUAUCGUAUCUCA